CCUACGGGAGGCAGCAGCGAGGAAUAUUGGUCAAUGGACGAGAGUCUGAACCAGCCAAGUAGCGUGAAGGAUGACUGCCCUAUGGGUUGUAAACUUCUUUUAUAUGGGAAUAAAACGUUCCACGUGUGGGAUUUUGUAUGUACCAUAUGAAUAAGGAUCGGCUAACUCCGUGCCAGCAGCCGCGGUAAUACGGAGGAUCCGAGCGUUAUCCGGAUUUAUUGGGUUUAAAGGGAGCGUAGGUGGAUUGUUAAGUCAGUUGUGAAAGUUUGCGGCUCAACCGUAAAAUUGCAGUUGAAACUGGCAGUCUUGAGUACAGUAGAGGUGGGCGGAAUUCGUGGUGUAGCGGUGAAAUGCUUAGAUAUCACGAAGAACUCCGAUUGCGAAGGCAGUUCACUGGACUGCAACUGACACUGAGGCUCGAAAGUGUGGGUAUCAAACAGGAUUAGAUACCCCAGUAGUC
rnacentral:rRNA from 1 species